AAUGCAAAUCAUUCAAUAUAUGUCCAACAAUUAUCUGAUGGCUCUUACUGGAAAAGUAAAAAAUACAAUAAAAAAUGGUAAAUUGUAAACUGCUAUAUUACGUUUCAUGUAUUAUGUAUAGUAAUUUCUUAAUGAAAAUUGUAACAUGUUUGUGUAUCUUUAUCAAUAUUAUUUCUGGAAAUACUUUGUUUAUAUUUAUUUUAUUUUCAUGACAUAGUAUUAUUAUUAAGUUUAAUAUUUAUUCUCAAAUAUACUAUUCUAUUUUAUAACAACUAUUAACAAAUAUAUAAAUAAAUAAAUAAAUAAAUAAAUGAAUAUGUUGCCUAGAGUAUUAAAAAGCUCCAGGUGACAUUCAUUAAUUUAUUUAUUUAUGUAUUCAUUUACGAUUAUUAACCAUUUAAUAAUUUUAGUUUUACUUUAUCAUUGUAUUAACUAUUAACACAAUCUAUAUAGGUAAACUGUAUACAAUUUUGUAAGUACUUUAAAUGUUUAAAUUGAUUUAUUGUUUGUUUAGGUGGGUAGGUACUAUAAGUUCUAUUUCUAUACAUAAUUAUUGAUAUGGCACUCCAAUUUUAAACUAAAUUAAUAAUUUCUUCAAAUGCCCAUUCACUUAAGUUAUCUAUUCAACCUAAUUCCAAAUUAAUUAUGAUAUAACUAACAGAAAUGUUAUAUACCUGGUGCCUAGUUCCAGUUUUCCAAAUUUUGUAAAAUUUGAAAAUUAUUUGUUAUAUUUUAUUGACUACCUUAAAUAUUAGACUUUUUUUAUAUUCUAAUACCUGAUACCCAUUAAGGAGGAAAGGAUAUGACCCUUAAAAAAAAAAAAAAAUCACUCCAUGAUGGAGACAAUUCUUUGUCAACUUAAUAUUUUCCUAUCAUUUUGGUUUUAAUUGAAAUACAACAUUCUACUGACUAAAUUGAACUCUGAUUUGUUAGGUUAGGUUAAGUUAGGUUAGGUUAGGUUAGGUUUGUUAUUUAAUUUCAAAUGAUUUUAUAAAAAGGUUGGUAAAAAAAAAAAACAAUUUUUACCAAUUUAAAAAAAAAAUUAUUCAUUUCAAUACUAAUAAUUACUAACAUUAUAUUGUACAAUAUGAUUCUAAAUUUAUAUUAUAGCCAUUUUAUCAUGUAAAUAUUUAAUAGAGAAAAAUGUAUAAUGCAAAAUUUGUUUGAUUUAUUAACAUCUAAAAUAAUUUGUAAUGUAUAUUUUUCUUUAAUUUAAAUAUUUUUGUGAUAAAAUGACUGUAUUAUAAAUUUUGAUUUACUCUGUAUAAGGCUGGUCAAGUUAAGAAUUAUUUUUUAUCUAAAAAUAAUUUAGCAAGUAAAUAUUACCUUAGUUAUAAUAUUAAAUUUCACAUUUUUGUUGUCAAUUAAAAUAUCUUAAGAAAGGGUAAUUAGAUCAAGGGUCUCCAAUUAUUAUUUUUUACAUCAAACCAAUAAAUUUCGUCAUCAUAGGUCAAAAUUAGAAAACCAAAAGAAAAAAAAAUGUCAAAGCAUUUUAUUUAAAAAAAUUUAAACUAACAUAUUGCUUGGCAAACUGGUUUGAUAAGUUAUAAGUUGGAUUGGACUCACUUAUAUGACUAUUGGAUUCCAUGUCACAUUAUCUUGUUGCGUCAAUCGCUUUAUGCAUUUCUAAAACUAAAACAUUUUAUUUGAAAUUUUACUAAAAUGGUGAUUUAUCAAAUAAGAAAUGAAGUAAACAUUUUUAAUAUUUUUUUUUUUGACCAAAAUUUAACUUGACUAAAAAUAUAUAAAAUUAACUCGUAGUUAACACAUUUAGUACCUACACAAUAAAAAUAACUUAUUAAGAUAAAAGUUAAUCCUGUAAAAAAGUAACUUAUUAUACAUUUUUAAUUUAUCUUAACUUUUAAUGUGUUAAUGCCCAGCCUUGUAUGUAUGUACAAACAAAUAUAUUCUAUUCUUAUUCAAACAUUGUUCAGUGAUAUUUUUAAGUUUCUUGUUAAUCAUCAUUUAAUUUUUGUUGUUGAAAUAUUUAUUAUAUUAUUUAGACAUAGAAAGAUUUAAUAAAUUAAUUUUACAAACAUACGAUAAUAGUAUAAUGCCAGUCCCUAGAUAACUUUCACUGAAAUGUUAACCAAAAAUAAUCAUUAUUUAAUAUUUAAAUAUUCUUUGUUUUGUAGGAAUACAGUUUAUGGCCAUCCAAUGACAACACAGAUAACAUGUUAGCCAGUGUAUUUCUAUGUGAGUUUGAAUUUGGUAACUAUUAUCUUAGAACAUAGAAUACAUUGUUGUAAAUUGCUAUAGUAAUGUUACAGUUGAAUCGUGGUACAAAAAUGGUUAAAUCGACAUGCUACUCUGUGAUCACUGAUUGAAAUGUAACAUAUAUGAGUAAUCUUAUAGAGAAUUAAUAUUUAACAUCUUAAAAU
rnacentral:lncRNA from 1 species